rnacentral:rRNA from 1 species
AGCGAACGCUGGCGGCAGGCCUAACACAUGCAAGUCGAACGAACCUUUCGGGGUUAGUGGCGGACGGGUGAGUAACACGUGGGAACGUGCCUUUAGGUUCGGAAUAACUCAGGGAAACUUGUGCUAAUACCGAAUGUGCCCUUCGGGGGAAAGAUUUAUCGCCUUUAGAGCGGCCCGCGUCUGAUUAGCCAGUUGGUUGAGGUAAUGGCUCACCAAGGCGACGAUCAGUAGCUGGUCUGAGAGGAUGAGCAGCCACAUUGGGACUGAGACACGGCCCAAACUCCUACGGGAGGCAGCAGUGGGGAAUCUUGCGCAAUGGGCGAAAGCCUGACGCAGCCAUGCCGCGUGAAUGAUGAAGGUCUUAGGAUUGUAAAAUUCUUUCACCGGGGACGAUAAUGACGGUACCCGGAGAAGAAGCCCCGGCUAACUUCGUG